ACUCGUUCUUCUUUUCAGUCAUAGAUAACAAUAUAGUCAGUCAUAUAUUUACGAAGUGACUUUACAGACUACAUGAAGUCAUAUACGAUCUACAGAGUGACUACGAAAAGUUCAUAAUGGGAAUUACGAUGACGAUGGUUCAAGAGACGACUCGUCGGGACCGGGUUUAAUAAUUCGAUCGUCUCAACAAGAAAAGAGACCAGUAAGUCUCUGCUCAUUUCUCUCUUCUCCUUUGUGUUCUUACAUUUACUGUAGAAUUCUGGUUGGUCUUUACCGUUCAAUAGUAAGCGUAUCUAGAUGAACUUUGUGUUUUAUCUCUUCAUGCGUCAGUGUUCCACCGGAAUGACAUGACUCAUCUUCUCACAUCGUAUGGCCACCUUUCAUCUCCAACUUUUUUCUUUUAGAUCGUUGUUUGGAUUGCAGUUACCUAGACGGGUAUCUUUAUAGACUUACACAUGUAUCUGUGUGGUUGUUCGUUGUACGUGGCUUACUCAACUUAAGGGAUUACACAAUAAAGAUAAAGUCGAGUUCUUUUUUGUCGUAUUAAAUGUUGGAUUUGGGGACUUGUUAUAACCACUACCAGUUAUGUCGUCCGUUCGAUACAUUUAUGUAAUUCUAAUCAUCAAGAUACAAAACGUUACUUUCUUGCGGCGCCACCAGGAUUUCGUGAAGACCAAUGAUUUAUAGUCUACGUUUAGUAGGGGAGUUAACCAAAUGAGGGAGGUAAGGUUUUAUCUACUUCAAAGUGUAAAACGUCAGAUCUCGUUAUAAUUAACAAAUUAAAAACACACGUAUAUAUCAUUGAUUUUUCUUUUUACACUUUGAUAAUAAGUACUGUUUAAACUUCCAUGUCAGGCAGAGACUGUUUAGGUUUAUUAAAGUGAGGGCAAGUUUUGUAUCUACAGAAAAAUCAGACAAGUGUAAAAGAGUUUUAUAAACAGGAGGAUAUAGUUACGGUAACACAAGGAUGAAACGAGAACUAGUAAUUUUUUUCGAUGAGGAAAGUUUUCUACCAAUUAUAACAAAUUAAAAACACACGUAUAUAUCAUGAGGGAGGCAAGGUUUUAUCUACUGAGUUGAAACAUGAUUGAAUUAUCUACUGAGUUGAAACAUGAUUGAAAUUCAAUCAUGUUUCAAUGUUUCAACUCAGUAGAUAAAACCUUGGUACCCUUUUCAAUCAUGUUUCAACUCAGUAGAUAAAACCUUACCUCCCUCAUUAAUUAAUUGAGUAACACGAAGUCACGGAACGAAACCCCUCCCUUUUAUCCGUUGAAUUAACAAAACACUUCUUCUCUACCCAUUAUAACUGUAAAGUGAGUGUGACAAAAACACGGGUUAAGAUCUUUUUAUAACAAGAAGUGUUUUAUUUUAUCAGACCCUUUUUG
rnacentral:rRNA from 1 species